rnacentral:lncRNA from 1 species
CUCCAAGGAGCUGAGAGGUGAAAUUCGGACAUUUGUCUGGACGGAGUAGAACCAAGAGAGUCGUAAACAUCCUGUGGACUACACACCGUUUAACAAGAUGCAACAGUAUUCUGGAUUCCAGUGCUGCAACUAUAUUCAAUAAAUGGGCCUUGUUCAAAUCCUGAGUACAAAUACUGUCUUCUCUUUAACGGAGCUGUUUCAUGCUUCUGCCUUUCUGUAGAAGGAAAACAACGUCCAUUCUCAGGCUUAUCUGAAUCUAGCACCACUUUUCACAAGUUAUUUUUGCUUCAAGCUACUUUAUGUGGUUCUCUAUUAAUUUCCUAUCUCCACCCUCAACAGUAAGGAGAUACUAAAAACUGUCCAUUUGGUUCCGCUUGUGGGAUUUUACUGAUUUUUAAUUUUGCAAUACUGUCUUGCAUAUUUUAAAUCUGCGUAUCUCUAAGAUGACUCUCCAGAGCUGAUGAAUUUUCUCUUCCAUGCUGAUGAGCCAGCCAUGGGAGAGUGGAGGAGUGGGGGAGGAAAGAGUUACUGUCUCGCGAGCUGUGAGUCUGCCUGCCCACAGCGGCGUUUUGGAUGAGACUCAUUAUUUGUGGAAAUGGUGUGUUCCACAGGCAAAAAUAACUUUUUAAAAAAAGAACAUCUCUGCACUCUCCUGAAGUCAUCUCAAAAUGAAUUCAAGAUUUCUCAUGAAAUGGAGAAAGCUUUCUGAUGGCCUGAAUGGUUCCUUGUGUACUUGACCAUGCCACGUUAAAUCUAAUCUAGACCAUGGCACCUGCAACAGCACCUCUGGCCUGUUUCUCACCAAUUCAUCUCAUUUGCGUUCCAAGCUGAUGGAGUCCCAGGUAGAAUGCAGCAAGAUGAACAUGUCUGAACCUUAAUGUCAGCAUAUAGGGGUUCGACAGACAGCUACUAUGAGAGAAUAUGCAAAGUCACAUGAAAUUGAGCUUUGCCUUUCCUGGAGCCCUUAAACAGGCUGAAGUGAAAAGCACCAUGACCUGUCACUACAAGACGAGAAGCCUCAGGAGAAGGAAGGAGAUCCCUUUUCAUUGGUUUUGCCGAGUUUCCCGAGCUCCAUCCUCCUACAGUUAAAUCAACACUCUUUAUCCUUAGACUGCUGAUAAUCUCACCAACCGCUUCCUGACAGCUUUUAAAGGAAUGGAGUAGCAUGUUCUUCUGGAGCAGGAGUUACAAAUUGGACCUCUAAGGGCCACAUUCAGCCUAUCCACAUGGUUGCAGCACUGACAGAGUGUUUUGAAAUUUUAAACUCUGAAUACUUGUAGAUAACAUAUGCAUGCCACAAUAAACUGCAUUUCCAUCA